AGACCCUGGGCUAGGUUUUUACCCAUCCAUCCACCCACCUGUUCAUCCAUCUACCCACCCACUUAACCACCCUUCUAUCUAUCCAUCCAUCCAUCUACUCUUCUACCUAUCUAUCCAUGCACCCACCCAUCCAUUCAUCCAUCCACCCUUCUACCUAUCCACCCAUCCACCCACCCACCUGUCUGUCCAUUCACCCACCCAUCUGCCCACCCAUCUGUUCAUCCAUCCACCCAUCCACCUCUCUGUCCAUGUAGCGGUAUUUAUAAAGUGCUGUACUUACCAUGUGUCAUAUACUGAACCAGGUCUUAGGAAUUCAGUGGUGAGCAGCACAGCCAUGGCCUCUACUCCCACAGAACAUACAGCCCAAGAUAGAAGACAGACCGAGUAACUAAAUGGGAGCUUUAUGGAUGGCACAAUAGGGGAAGCACAGGGUGUUUCUGGGGAAGGUUCUGAAGGAAGUGACAUUAGGCUAAGGGCUAGCUGGGAGUUAGCCCGAUAAACCAGGAGCAGAAAGUGUAUUCCAAGCAAAGGGACAGCAGGUGCAAAGGCCCAGCGGUUUGAAAGAACCAAAAGAGCACAGGAUGGCUGCAGCAGGGAGGCAGAAGGCAGGAAUGUGGGUGGAGCCAGACCACACAGGGGCAUGUGAGCUGUGGCAAGAAGUUUGAAUUUGUCCUCAGAGCAAGUGGAAGAGAGCAAAGGACUUUCAGCAUGUGAGUGAGAGAUCAGUAUGUGUUGGCUACAUGACCUCAGCAAGUUACAUAACUUCUCUGUAUCUCAGCUACUUCAUUUGUAAAGUGGAACAAAUUACUGCCACCUUUUCAGGAUGCUGCAAAGAUUAAGUGAGGAACAUCACGUGGUUUCUCGUUGGCAUGAAGCAAACAUUAGUUCCCUUUGCUGUUCUCAUUUGAACAUGCAUAUUUUGGGGGAUUCUAGCCAGGGUGGCAUUGAGGACUCACACCAUGGUCCACUUGUUACUUGACCCCUGCAAGUGCCCAGCGAGAGGCUCAACAAACAACAAACAGUGCAUCCCUUAGAAAAAGAGCAGGGUGGGUGCGGGAAUCCUAAACGUCCCAACCUGACCACUCAGGCACGCCUGCCCAGAGCCUCCUGGGUUCCCAAGUCUCUGACCUAAGGGCAGAAGUCACAGAUCUGCCAAACCACACAGAAGAAAGCCAGUGAGAAACAUUUAGAGGUGUCACCAGGCGCCAGGGUCUUAUUGGUGUGUGACCGCCGGGCACCACCCAUGCACAGAGGUCACUAGCGUUCAGUGAGCGCCUCGUUCACACCUACCUUGAGUCUGGCAUUUUACCAGCAUAGUAGGAACUUGGUAUGGUUACCUCCUAGAAACUUCACUUCCACCCUCCAAGGUGGGGCUGUUCUGACCCUGAUCUGUUGGAAGAGGAACCCUGGCAGGGGAGUAGCAGAUGCACAAUUCAAACCCAGGUCUCCUGAUCCAAUGCCCAGGGUUUUUCAUUUGUUUUCAUUUUACCGUGCUACAGGAAGGAGCAAGAACAAGAGCCCAGGUAAAGGAAUUUGCAAGUCUGGCCGGCAUGGAAAGCAAACUCCUUUCUUCAUUUUGCCCCCACUUGUUCAGUUUGCCCCUAUUUGUUCAGUUUGCCCCGG
rnacentral:lncRNA from 1 species